GCUGAGGAAGCAUGCCUGCUCUUAGUUAUGGGAGAUUUUUGUUAAAGACCUACAUUAGUAAUGGUUUGAAGGUCUAAAUGACAGGAGAAAAAUAAACGGAUAUCUAUGGCAAGAAAUCUUGCUGCUGUCUGAAAACAAGAGUCCUAAAAUUUCAGAAGUGGCCAGCAUUUGUGGAUAUCUGUGGUGUUUGGGGUUAUCUCCUUUGGUGAUCAAGCCCUGCUUUUCCAGGGAAUGAACCCGCAUCACUGAAACAGCAGGAGCUCAAGUACCUCAUUACUUCUGAGAAAUUCACUCCAAGCCAAACCUCACAAGAUGCAUACCCAAUACUGAGGUGCGCACCUGGAGACCAGAAGAACAAUGAAGAGUUAAAAAGGAAGAAGUCAGAAGUUGUUUAAAGAAGACAGUGUGUCACAGAGAACACGAGUGAGCAUGUGUAUACAUGCACUGUGGGAGGGAGUCUACAGACAGACUUCUCCAGAGGCACUCAAUCUGAGAUGUUUUAAAGGGUCUGACUUCUUCAUUACUAGAAAUGAAGAAAACGUGCUGUCUUCAAAGCCUAUUGAUGUUUUGAUGUUAAAAAAACAAACAAACAAAAAAAACCAGUAGUAAACUGAGCGUGUGACUUCAUCUUACCUUUGGGCUUUGCUGAGCUUAGACAUGCCACGUUACUUCAGUGUAUCUGCCUUUUUCCAUCUGUUAAAAUAGGGCCAUUGCUAGUUGUCUGCCUGAUUAGGACAUUAAAAGGAAAAGUUGAAUAAUGUUUAUGACCUAAUAUAUAAGUUCGAGGCGUG
rnacentral:lncRNA from 1 species